rnacentral:rRNA from 1 species
AUUGAACGCUGGCGGCAUGCCUUACACAUGCAAGUCGAACGGUAACGGGUCCUUCGGGAUGCCGACGAGUGGCGAACGGGUGAGUAAUAUAUCGGAACGUGCCCAGUAGUGGGGGAUAACUGCUCGAAAGAGCAGCUAAUACCGCAUACGACCUGAGGGUGAAAGGGGGGGAUCGCAAGACCUCUCGCUAUUGGAGCGGCCGAUAUCAGAUUAGCUAGUUGGUGGGGUAAAGGCCUACCAAGGCAACGAUCUGUAGUUGGUCUGAGAGGACGACCAGCCACACUGGGACUGAGACACGGGCCAGACUCCUACGGGAGGCAGCAGUGGGGAAUUUUGGACAAUGGGCGCAAGCCUGAUCCAGCAAUGCCGAGUGCAGGAAGAAGGCCUUCGGGUUGUGAACUGCUUUUGUCAGGGAAGAAAUCUUCUGGGCUAAUACCCCGGGAGGAUGACGGUACCUGAAGAAUAAGCACCGGCUAACUACGUGCCAGCCGCCGCCGUAACAC